rnacentral:rRNA from 1 species
CAGGCCUAACACAUGCAAGUCGAACGAUGAAACUCUAGCUUGCUAGAGAUGAUUAGUGGCGGACGGGUGAGUAACAUUUAGGAAUCUGCCUAGUAGUGGGGGAUAGCUCGGGGAAACUCGAAUUAAUACCGCAUACGACCUACGGGUGAAAGGGGGCGCAAGCUCUUGCUAUUAGAUGAGCCUAAAUCAGAUUAGCUAGUUGGUGGGGUAAAGGCCCACCAAGGCGACGAUCUGUAACUGGUCUGAGAGGAUGAUCAGUCACACCGGAACUGAGACACGGUCCGGACUCCUACGGGAGGCAGCAGUGGGGAAUAUUGGACAAUGGGGGCAACCCUGAUCCAGCCAUGCCGCGUGUGUGAAGAAGGCCUUUUGGUUGUAAAGCACUUUAAGCAGGGAGGAGAGGCUAAUGGUUAAUACCCAUUAGAUUAGACGUUACCUGCAGAAUAAGCACCGGCUAACUCUGUGCCAGCAGCCGCGGUAAU